UACGAAGGGGGCUAGCGUUGCUCGGAAUCACUGGGCGUAAAGCGCGCGUAGGCGGCUUCUUAAGUCAGGGGUGAAAUCCUGGAGCUCAACUCCAGAACUGCCCUUGAUACUGCGAGGCUCGAGUCCGGGAGAGGUGAGUGGAACUGCGAGUGUAGAGGUGAAAUUCGUAGAUAUUCGCAAGAACACCAGUGGCGAAGGCGGCUCACUGGCACGUAACUGACGCUGAGGCACGAAAGCGUGGGGAGCAAACAGG
rnacentral:rRNA from 1 species